rnacentral:rRNA from 1 species
AGUGAACGCUGGCGGUAGGCCUAACACAUGCAAGUCGAACGGAAGCACAGUUAGAGCUUGCUCUUACGGGUGGGGGGUGGCGGACGGGUGAGGAAGACAACGUAAUCUGCUUUUUCGUGGAGGAUAACGUAGGGAAGCUUACGCUAAUACCGCAUACGACCUUGGGUGGCAAGCAGGAGAGCUUCGGACCUUGGGCGAUGGUAUGGGCCGAUGUCGGAUUAGCUGGUUGGGGGGGUAAAGGCCCACCAAGGCGACGAUCCGUAUCUGGUCUGAGAGGAUGAUCAGCCACACUGGAACUGAGACACGCACCAGACUCCUACGGUAGGCAGCAGUGGGGAAUAUUGGACAAUAGGCGCAAACCUGAUCCAGCCAUACCGAGUGUGUGACGAAGGCCUUCGGGUUGUAAAGCCCUCUUGUUGGUAAAGAAAAGCAGCAGAUUAAUACCCCGCUGUUCUGACGGUACCCAAAGAAUAAGCACCGGCUAACUUCGUG